AGGAUGAACGCUGGCGGCGUGCCUAACACAUGCAAGUCGAACGUCCUGUCUCGCAAGAGGCAGGGAGUGGCGGACGGGUGAGUACCACGUGGGUUAUCUACCGUGAGGUGAGGAAUACCGGCGAGAAAUCGCCGACAAGACCGCAUAGCCUCGGUGCAAGCCGAGGAAAGCUUUCUCGAGAGAGGGAGCGCCACACGAGGAGCCUGCGCCCGAUUAGCUAGCUGGUGGAGUAACGGUUCACCAGGGCGACGAUCGGUAGCUGGUCUGAGAGGACGAUCAGCCACACUGGGAUUGAGAACGGCCCAGACUCCUACGGGGGCAGCAGUGAGGAAUUUUCGUCAAUGGGGGCAACCCUGAACGAGCAACGCCGCGUGCAGGAAGAAGGUUUUCGGAUCGUAAACUGCUUUUCUCGGGGAAGAGGAACGGACGGUACCCGAGGAAUCGAGCCCCGGCUAACUACGUGCCAGCAGCCGCGGUAA
rnacentral:rRNA from 1 species